GCCCUUUUUGCCCCCUCAGAGGCUGCGGGACCAGAUCAAGACAUGGGUGGCCUCCAACGAGAUCAAGGACAAGCGGCAGCUGAUCGACAACCGCAAACUCAUCGAGACGCAAAUGGAGAGGUUCAAGGUGGUGGAAAGGGAAACCAAGACCAAGGCUUACAGUAAAGAGGGGCUGGGGCUGGCCCAGAAAGUCGACCCCGCUCAGAAGGAGAAGGAGGAGGUCGGGCAGUGGCUCACGAACACGAUUGACACCCUCAACAUGCAGGUGGAUCAGUUUGAGAGCGAGGUGGAGUCGCUGUCGGUGCAGACCCGGAAGAAGAAAGGGGACAAG